rnacentral:tRNA from 1 species
GUCCCUGUAGCGCAAUAGGUAGCGUGUUGGACUUCUAAUCCAAAUGUCGUGGGUUCAAAUCCUACCUGGGAUG